GUGAAUUUCACGGGCUCAAGGAAUUAAGACCCGGGUGCAAGUACGCGAACUAGCUCGCGGGGUCCCGGGUUUGGGGCAUGCUUGCGCACCAGCCCUCGUGGCGCCUGAGGUGGUGGGUGUGCGCAGGCGUGCGCCCCUGGCGUUGAGAAUGAGUUAAUGAAUUGAUCUCAGGCACUGAUGCCGAUGGAGAUGCUAACCCUUUUUGCUUACCUUCUUUUCAAAUGCUCACCACUUCCUCAAAUGGAAAAUACGGAUAGCUGUUUUCCCAAUUAGUAAAGUGCACGCAACGAAUAUGGGAACCAGAAUUUGAAUAUUACCAGCCCUGAGUCC